rnacentral:rRNA from 1 species
UGAUGGAGAGUUUGAUCCUGGCUCAGGACGAACGCUGGCGGCGUGCUUAACACAUGCAAGUCGAGCGGAAAGGCCCUUCGGGGUACUCGAGCGGCGAACGGGUGAGU